AACUGCUGAAAAAUUUAAAAACAGCUCGUAAGUUGGCCCUUAUUAGUGAUAAUUGUCUAAACAAGUUGAAACUAUCGACAAUUAGUAAGGACGGUUACAUCGAUGUGACUGCACUCAAACAAAGCAUCUCAGUGAUAAUAGACAUAGGCAUAUUUUACGCCACCAUGAAAUUAGUUCAUUUGCUCAGAAUCGUUGCAGUCGUAGUUUGCAUUUUCCUUCAGUUAGCAAAAGCCGUACCUUUACCGGAUCCUCAGUUCUUGGAGGAAGAAAUCUGCGGUUCACCGGACGAGCCGCUGCGUUGCUUGUGUACAAUGCAAGACGAUGAAUUGGAUUGUGAAUAUUUCGUAUGAAAUGAAAGCCUUCAACCCAGUGAAGGUCUUCAGUUUUGAAUCGUUAUUUUUCGACGAAUUCCAAUGAGGAGAUAUCAUAUUUACGUUUGUCUAAUGCUACUGUGCAGUUACUUUGGAUUAACUUGUUCAUAUGUACGAUCAAAUCUACACCCGGAGAUGAAAUGCAAUCCAAAAGUUGUAUUCAAAGAUGAAUGUGACAAUAUUUGUGUUUGUAACCCAUGGGGUAUCGCUCUAUGUGAUGACAAAAUUAUGAAAGCAUGUGGCAAAUAAAUCAAUACAAUUUUUACGUUAUUUUUUAACAUAAUUAUUAUUUUGUUUACUAAAGACAACUUCAUGUAACAAGAAUCCGGAGUACAUGUUGCACUAUUCACUAUAAACGAUUUUAAAACACGCUUUUAUCAAAUU